rnacentral:pre_miRNA from 14 species
CAGAUAACCUGGGAUAUGUGAGCUAGGAACCUGAUUUCAAGCGGUGGAUAGAUUUCCACAACAAAAGUCUAGCACCAUUUGAAAUCAGUGUCCCUAGCUCAAUAAUACACUACCAUGCCAA